AACGAACGCUGGCGGCGGGCUUAACACAUGCAAGUCGAACGCCCCGCAAGGGGAGUGGCAGACGGGUGAGUAACGCGUGGGAAUCUACCCAGAUCUACGGAACAACAGUUGGAAACGACUGCUAAUACCGUAUACGCCCUACGGGGGAAAGAUUUAUCGGAGUUGGAUGAGCCCGCGUUGGAUUAGCUAGUUGGUGGGGUAAUGGCCUACCAAGGCGACGAUCCAUAGCUGGUCUGAGAGGAUGAUCAGCCACACUGGGACUGAGACACGGCCCAGACUCCUACGGGAGGCAGCAGUGGGGAAUAUUGGACAAUGGGCGCAAGCCUGAUCCAGCCAUGCCGCGUGAGUGAUGAAGGCCUUAGGGUUGUAAAGCUCUUUCACCGAUGAAGAUAAUGACGGUAGUCGGAGAAGAAGCCCCGGCUAACUUCGUGCCAGCCGCCGCAGUAAUAC
rnacentral:rRNA from 1 species